UCUAUUACUUAAUAUCAACGCUAACCCUACUGACACAGAUUUUGGUCAAAAUAAAAUGUGCAGUCUUUGCUCAAAAGAGCAGGUCACAUCCCAGAAAGAAGUCUAUUGUGAUAAAAAUGUCUUUGCGGUCUGUAGUGGAAGAUGUUUUCCACAUACAGCCAAAUAUAGGUCCAUAUUGACUGUUUCUACAUUAAGUAAUGAAUUAAAAUGAAGAUAAACCGUCUCUAGUUGACAGAUCAGUGGUCCCCUGUGGGCUGAUAAAACCCUUUUAACACAUUAAAUGCACUUAGAAAUGCAUUUUCAU